rnacentral:sRNA from 1 species
CGUACGGGGAAGGAUGAGAAGCUUCGACUAAGGUUCGAUUCGAGCGAAAGCGAGAAAGCGUUGCCAACGGCAACGACCCGAAGGGCGAAGCGCGCAGCGCUGAGUAAUCCUUCCCCCACCACCA